UUUGUAAGUUGUGAAGGGCGCAUGGUGGAUGCCUUGGUAAUAGGAGCCGAUGAAGGACGUGGGAAUCUGCGAUAAGCCUGGUGGAGUUGAUAACCGAGCGUUGAUGCCAGGAUGUCCGAAUGGGGUAACCCCGCGCAUCGUGGUGGUGCGUGACCGCUGGUUGAAUGUAUAGGCCAGUUGGAGGGAACGUGGGGAAGUGAAACAUCUCAGUACCUGCAGGAAGAGAAAAUAAUAAUGAUUCUGCUAGUAGUGGCGAGCGAACGUGGAUGAGGCUAAACCUGGUGCGUGUGAUACACGGUAGUGGUUGCGUGCUGGGGGUUGUGGGAUGCGCUGUGCUGGUUCUACCGGGCUGGCGAGUGAUGGUUGCGUGUAUGCGAAGUAGUUUGGAUGCUACACCGUAGUGGGUGAGAGUCCCGUAGUGGUAACGCGUUGGCCGGGCUUUGGUGUUUUCCCGAGUAGUACGGGGUUCGUGGAGUCCCGUGUGAAUCUGCCAGGACCACCUGGUAAGUCUAAAUACUUCCUAUUGACCGAUAGUGGAUCAGUACCGUGAGGGAAUGGUGAAAAGUACCCCGGGAGGGGAGUGAAAGAGUACCUGAAACCAUGUGCUUACAAUCCGUUCGAGCGUCCUGUGGGGUGUGAGAGCGUGCCUUUUGCAAAAUGAGCCUGCGAGUCAGUGAUGCGUGGCGAGGUUAACCCGUGUGGGGUAGUCGUAGCGAAAGCGAGUCUGAAGAGGGCGGUGAGUCGCGUGUUCUGGACCCGAAGCGGAGUGAUCUACCCAUGGCCAGGUUGAAGCGUGUGUAAGAGCACGUGGAGGACCGGACCCACUUCAGUUGAAAAUGGAGGGGAUGAGCUGUGGGUAGGGGUGAAAGGCUAAUCAAACUCCGUGAUAGCUGGUUCUCCCCGAAAUGCAUUUAGGUGCAGCGUUGCGUGUUUCUUGCUGGUGGUAGAGCUACUGGUUGGCUGAUGGGCCCGACAAGGUUACUGACGUCAGCCAAACUCCGAAUGCUGGUGAGUGAGAGCGUGGCAGUGAGACUGUGGGGGAUAAGCUUCAUGGUCGAGAGGGAAACAGCCCAGAUCAUCGGUUAAGGCCCCUAAGCGUGUGCUAAGUGGAAAAGGAUGUGAAGUUGCUGAGACAACCAGGAGGUUGGCUUAGAAGCAGCCACCCUUGAAAGAGUGCGUAAUAGCCCACUGGUCAAGUGAUUUUGCGCCGACAAUGUAGCGGGGCUUAAGCAUACCGCCGAAACUGUGACAAACCACCGUGUGGUGGGUUGGGUAGGGGAGCGUCGUGCGUGUGGUGAAGCAGUCGUGUGAACGGUUGUGGAGAGCGUGCGAGUGAGAAUGCAGGCAUGAGUAGCGAUAGGAGGGUGAGAAACCCUUCCGCCGGAUGACUAAGGGUUCCAGGGUCAAGUUCAUCUUCCCUGGGUUAGUCGGGACCUAAGGCGAGGCCGACAGGCGUAGUCGAUGGAUAACGGGUUGAUAUUCCCGUACCAGUGGUAGACCGUCCCUGCUGAGCUGGUGAUACUAACCACCCGAGCCUUCCUGGAUCACCUUUCGGGGUGACGUGGUUGGUGAGCGUGGGACCUGAACUGGUGAGGCAAGCGUGUUAACAGGUGUGACGCAGGAAGGUAGCCGGGCCAGGCAGUGGAAUGGUCCUGGUCUAAGCGUGUAGGAUGCAGGGUUGGUAAAUCCGCUCUGUGUGUGUCUGAGACGUGAUGGGCUCCCACGUGGUGGGAGAUCUGGUGAUCCUAUGCUGCCAAGAAAAGCAUCGACGCGAGGUUGACAUUGCCCGUACCCUAAACCGACUCAGGUAGUCAGGUAGAGAAUACUAAGGCGAUCGAGAGAAUCAUAGUUAAGGAACUCGGCAAAAUGCCCCCGUAACUUCGGAAGAAGGGGGGCCUCGACCUUGACACCCACGUGCUGGGUGGAGGGGGUAGGGGCCGCAGAGACCAGGGGGAAGCGACUGUUUAUCAAAAACACAGGUCCAUGCGAAGUCGUAAGACGAUGUAUAUGGACUGACUCCUGCCCGGUGCUGGAAGGUUAAGCGGAGCUAUUAGCCCUUGUGGGCGACGUGGUGAAGUUAAGCCCCAGUAAACGGCGGUGGUAACUAUAACCAUCCUAAGGUAGCGAAAUUCCUUGUCGGGUAAGUUCCGACCUGCACGAAUGGAGUAACGACUUCCCCGCUGUCUCAACUGUGAACUCGGUGAAAUUGCAGUACGAGUAAAGAUGCUCGUUACGCGCAGAAGGACGGAAAGACCCCGAGACCUUCACUAUAGUUUGGUAUUGGUGUUCGGUGUGGCUUGUGUAGAAUAGGUGGGAGACUGUGAAGCUAGCACGCUAGUGGUAGUGGAGUCGUUGUGUGAAAUACCACUCUGGUCAUAGUGAACAUCUAACUUCGGACCGUGAUCCGGUUCAGGGACAGUGCCUGAUGGGUAGUUUAACUGGGGCGGUUGCCUCCUAAAUGGUAACGGAGGCGCCCAAAGGUUCCCUCAGCCUGGUUGGCAAUCAGGUGUUGAGUGUAAGUGCACAAGGGAGCUUGACUGUGAGACUGGCAGGUCGAGCAGGAACGAAAGUUGGGACUAGUGAUCCGGCGACUCGUUGUGGAACGGUCGUCGCUCAACGGAUAAAAGGUACCUCGGGGAUAACAGGCUUAUCUUGCCCAAGAGUUCAUAUCGACGGCAUGGUUUGGCACCUCGAUGUCGGCUCGUCGCAUCCUGGGGCUGGAGUUGGUCCCAAGGGUUGGGCUGUUCGCCCAUUAAAGCGGUACGCGAGCUGGGUUCAGAACGUCGUGAGACAGUUCGGUCCCUAUCCUCUGCGCGCGGUGGAGAAUUGAGAAGGGCUGUCCUUAGUACGAGAGGACCGGGACGGACGAACCUCUGGUAUGUCAGUUGUACCGCCAGGUGCAUGGCUGAUUGGCUACGUUCGGGAUAGAUAACCGCUGAAAGCAUCUAAGCGGGAAGCUUGCUUCAAGAUGAAUUCUCCUGACACCCUUGUGGUGUGAGAGGUUCCCAGUAGAUGACUGGGUUGAUAGGCCGGGUGUGUAAGCACGGACUGACGACGUGUUGAGCUGACCGGUACUAAUAGACCAAAGACUUACAAACACCCCCAACC
rnacentral:rRNA from 1 species